UUUUUUUUUUUUUUUUGUAGAUGUAUAAUUAAAAGUUGCUUGUCUUCAAAUCACUAAAACUUCUAAACGGUGAUGACGUAAAAUUGACAAACAGUUGUGAUUGAUAUGUAGUAUCAGUGUAUCACUCACAUACUAUAAUUUAGUUUAGUUGAAAAAUGUACUAGAACCUCGUACUGUAUACGUAUUACACCCAUGGCACCAUAAUAGAAAGAGAUCAACAGGAUGAUCCAAGCUUCUUGUUUGGGGCUGUGAUUAGUUCCAUACACUUUAUUUUUCAUUUUUUGGAAUUCCUCCAUCAUGCUUUGUGCUGGAUCCAUUCUUUCUCUAGGUGCUUUUGUACACCACCAAACCCCGAACCCGAAUUAUGAGUACCUGACCCACUAUUCGGAUUUCGGACGGGUUGAGUUUUGGGUCAACCCAACCCAAUUUUAUACCAACUUUCUCAUCUAUUCAUUUAUUAUUAUUAUUAUUAUUAUUAUUAUUAUUAUUAUUAUUAUUAUGGAUUAUGGAUUAAAUAAAAUUCCUAUAUAUCAGCUAAUUGAAGAUUUACAAACAGAGUCCUCAUAUAACAUCAAAAAUUCCUUCACUAUACUAAUCAUUCAACCUCAUAAUAACAAUGUCGACUACAAAUAGCCUAUGAGCAUAGUUUAUGAUGUAACCCCCUUCCGGGAAUGUGAUGUAGCCUUCAAGCUUUGGAGAAAAAAUAUUUUAUAAUUAUUUUCAAAAGAAAAAAUAAAAAAUCGUAAGGUAUAUUUCAGUUAUACUCAGUAUUGGGUCUUUGUAUUUAGGGGAAGAAAAAGCUUACACACAUAAUGAAUAAAAACCUUAGAUAUGGCAUGGAAAAGUAAGAAAAUGAUCGGUUAACAUUAAAUAGUUAUUAUGAAUUAUGAAAGAAAUCUCAAAGUUCAAGGCAAAAAAAUGUAGAUAAAGAUUUCAUUAAAACUUUAGGUACUCUUUAAAGAAGUUGGCAAUAAAAGAAAAAGUAGAACAUCAUACGAAUUGAGAAAUAAAAAAUGAUACGUAAUCUUUACAAACAACUUACUGUAUUGAAGCUCGAUGAAAGGAUUUUUUCGUAAAAGAAGUUAAAAGCAAUCAUCCUAUGCUUCAUAUAGACAAAACUGGAAACUCCUAUAUGUAACAAAGUCACCAAGAAAAAGAUUCAUUCUUGGAUAUGUACAUCAACCGCAAACAUCAACUUUGAAAUCAAUUAACAAAUGAUUAUACACAUGUAUGUAGGUGGGGAUGUGAUUGUUGAGGUGAGAGAUAGAGAGAAAGCAAACCGAAACUAUGGCCCAAACCACCACGAAAAUCUAUCAAUCUUUCGUCAUCGAUUUUUUGAAACCCUUGAGUUUUUCUACAUAACUAUCCUUUUUUUUUUUUGCUCAAAGAGAAUUUUUCAUUGCGAACAAUUGGGUCCGUGGGUGGUGUGGUGUCUUUGUAGGCUCAAUUGCAAUUAAGCUUGGAAUUAAACUCUUGUAGUCUCAAAUUCACUCAAUUUUAAACUCUUAUAAUAUCUACUUUAAUAAUAAAAAAAUAGUUAUUAAACUAGAAUUUCAAUUUAUUUUAAUCAGAUUAAGUAUCUACUUACAUAUGUUCUCCCACAUUACAUUAUAACACAUUACAUUAUAAUGUUUCUUUCACCCAUCCAACCAACCAUACAUGUUGGGGGAAUUUCUCAUGUAAUUCUUAGGUGGGUCAGCCUUCGAGCCUGGUUCGAGAUUAGGAGGCCCAUGCUCUUAUGAUGAUGAUUUGUGGUAAGGUGUUCUCCCAUGAUGAUGAUGUGGCUAGGUGUUCUUCAGCGAAAGCAAGUCCCUGAGUAGCAAAAUUGCUCGAGUUGCAAGGUGGCGGUGUGGACACUUAGGUGGUGUGGACACUUAGGUAGUAGCAUCAGUAGCCUUCGGGCCUUAUCUUUGUAAGCCCUUUGGGCCCUGUCCUUGUAAGCCUUCGGCCCAUGAUUAAUAUACCAAUUUUUUUUUUUUAAAAAAAAAAAAAAAAAACCAACCAUACAUGAGAGACUACAAGCCACCUAGUUUCAUUUAUAUUUUCUUGUGGGGAAAGUCUUAUAGGGUAAGUGUAACAAUAUUAAAUGCAAGAUGAACUACAUUGAAUGGCAAACCACCAAUUCCAAUAAGAUUAAAAAACUUUACGUACCCAUCGAAGGUUUGUUGCAAUUUUCUCGUCACCACCAUAAGAUUAUCUGGGAUAUGUUCAUUUUCCACUAUCUUCUUGAGGUCAAAACGAAAGACGGUGAAGAAACUAUAUCCUACCAUAAGAGGAUAAAUCUUGGACAUCUUAGAUCCACAAUCUCUGAAGGUAAUCUGAACAUUCUCCAUAUCUUUCAGUUGCAAGUUGUAACGAAAACCCUGCAACAAGCAAGGAACAAAAUAUUAGUAUAUCACUCUUUUCUUCUAUGCAUUCAAAAAAAAUAUAUAUUACGUACUUAUAAUAGAGGGAGAAGACUGAAGAGCAAGACUAACCACUAACUUGUUAAAUUCACGCAAGACGACCUCGGACAAUCUUUUAAUUUCGGGCCUCCAUGCCAGUUAUUAUUUUGGAAAUCAAUAUUAAACUUAGGGGGUGUUUGGCAACAAAAAGUAAAUUUACUUUGAUUUAUAGUAGAAAUAAAAAAGCAAAAAGUUAGUUUGGUAAUGCAUUUAUUAAAAAGUUAAGAAAGUCAAAAAAUUAGUUUGGCAACACAUCCUAACAAAAGUAAAAAAGUAAAAAAUGAUAAUGACAAAAAUACAUAAAAAAUAAGAAAAAUUGAAGAAAAAAAAAAAUUAGAUUUGAUUAUAAGAAAAUAAGAAAAAAUAACCCAUUUUUUACAUGAAUCUCAUUCAGAAUUAUCAAAAAUUAUGAUUAACAACAUGAUUAUAAUUGGUGUUGUAAAUACAUAAAAUAAAAUAGGUCUAAUUACUGAAAAUGACAAUAACGUUUAGGACAAUUUUUAUUUUUAACAACGUGUUUCACUUCAUGACACAAACGUUUGUUUUUAUUUCACCCGAUAAUAAUAUAGUUUUCCUCCGGUGUCUAAGUCCAAUGACCCAGCUGAUAGGGGUGCAAUUCGAGCCGCUCGAGCCGAGCUAAGGUAUGCUCGAACUUGGCUCGUUACUAACCGAGCCGAGCUCGAGCCGAGCUCAAAAUUAAGAUCGAGCUGAACUAUGAGCUCGAGCUCGGCUCGCGAGCCAACAGUAAAACUCGAGCUCGGUUCGUUUCGGCUCGCUGGCUCGUUUCGGCUCGUUUGGAGACACGUUAGUUCUUCAAUCUGAUCUUCCAUCGUGAUGAAGAGAUCAAAUGUUGAUAUGGAAGCGUCUCUGACGAAAAUACGUCGUGUUGGGAUGAGCUUCUUAAGUAAAGAUGAGAUUGGGGAGGGAAAGCUGAUGGUGGAUUGGUGGUGGAGGAGGAGGAGGAGGAGGAUAUAAGCAAACAACCUGCUGCUGCUGCGAAUGUGGAUCUUAAUCCGAAGAAAUUACUAAAACUUAAGACAUGCGACAAUCAAAUGUUCAAGUGGAAGAAACUUUUAUGCUUCAAUCUAAGGUUCUUAUGGAUAUGAUUGAACUUGGUUGCGCAGAUGAUAACAUUCCUCUACAGGAUGUGACUGCAGAUAUCUUGGCCAUGGUGAUAGUAUUGUAAGAAGCAUGUUGUUGAUGCUAAUAACAAGAAAGAAUUUGAUGUUGAUGAAUCACUCAAGAAGUGGGAUGCUGAUUUUGUUGAUGUUGAUCUGAGGACUCUUUAUGAUCUCAUAUAUGUUGCAAAGUUUCUGGACAUUGGGACUGUUGGAUCUUGCUGCUCAGAAGUUUGCUGAUAUUAUCAAAUAUAAAUCAAUUUCAGAGAUUCAAAAAAUCUUCCAUAUUCAGAAUGACUUAAGUCCUGCAGAAGAAGAGGAAAUUCGGACAACUAAUCCAUGGGCAUUUGGGAAUUGAAGGUCGUUUUUAAUUUGUUGCAACAAGAAUUAUUAGAUUAUGGUGGAAUCAGAAGUUGGAAGAAGUUUGCUUGUUGAAUUAGAUAUUUAGAUCUGAGAUUAAUGGAAGAGAGAAGAUGAAGAAAGAAGAGAGAAGAGAAGAGAAGAGAUAUGAGAUUAAUGGGCGGACCACAGAUAUUUUUUAAGCCCAAGCCCAUAAGACCAUAAUAAAUAAGACUAAAGAUCGGGGUAAUAUAGUAAUUAACUAAUAAUUAACGAGUUGCUCGGCUCGGCUCGUUUAGAGCUCGAACUCGGCUCGGGCUCGUGACGAGCUCAAAAACUGGCUCGAACUCGGCUCGUUUAGAUAAAUAAGCGAGCCGAGCCGAGCUUUUAUCGAGUCGAGCUCGAGCCGAGCCCGAGCCGCUCAGCUCAAAUUGCACCCCUACCAGCUGAUCUGGCAUGGAAGAAACUAACAUGUCAUUAAAAUAAUAAAACAUAAUCAAAGUAUACACAUAUUUAAGAAAACAAACUUCAUUCCAUUGAUAACAGGUUACACAUCUUCAGCAUUACAAACCAAAAAAAAAAAAAAAAAAAUACAUCUUCUUCGUCACAAUAUAAGCUCGUUCUUCUUCACUUCUAGAAAAUAAACAUGAAAAUAAAAACAAAAAUUAAAGCAAAAUACAUUUUUUUUUUCAAUUCAAGAGUCUCGACAUUCUUCAUCUCCAAUUCCUUCAUCAACUUCCAGUUCUUCUUCUUUAAUAUUGUUACCCUGCAUUCCAAGUCUUCAUUUUUGUGCUGAAAGUAUUCUACCUUCCUCUCCAUCCUCAAUGGUGUCGUUGGUGGGUCAAUCCAGCGAAAAUAAUUACAAUUGUUUGAUGGGUAUUUCAAACAUCCAUAAAAUCUCCUUCCAGGAUUAUCAGGGGUUGAAGAAGUCUUGAUUGCAGCUUCUUCUCCACACUUACAUGUAGGGGUAUGAGAGUUAAUUGAGGAAGAAAACAUAAUUUAGCUUCUAGGGUUUCAAAUUAGCUUCUAGGGUUUUGGAAAAUGUUGGGGAAGAAAAUAGGAGCUCGAUGGAAGAGAAUUGAUAUUUAAUAAAAUAUAUCACGUGAUUUGCACGCAUCUGUUAAUAAAAUAUAUCGAUGGAAGAGGAUUGAUAGUUAAUUGAGUAAUAUUUUGAUGACAUGGAAAAUAUAAAUAUUAUUUUAAUGACAUGUCAACAUCUGUUAUGCCACAUCAGUUGGGUCACCGGACUCGGGCACCGGAAUAAAACUAUAUUAUUAUCGGGUGAAAUAAAAACAAACGUUUGUGUCAUGAAGUGAAACACGUUGUUAAAAAUGAAAAUUGUCCUAAACGUUAUUGUCAUUUUCAGUAAUUAGGACCAAAUAAAAUAGAUAAGAUGGAGAUUGUAAAAGAUAAAGUAAAAAGAUAAGCUAAAGAUAGAAAUUGUAGAUUAAAUAUGUAAAGUGACACAUGAAUUUUACGUGGUUCGGCAAUGGUGCCUACAUCUACGAGAGAGAUGAUUGUUUUAUUAUUGUUAAGAGAUGAGUAAAGAUUGGAGGAACUAGAGAGCUUGUGUCCUUUUACAUGAAAUAGAUCCCUUUAUAUAGAUAGAGAAUUACAAUUGAACACAUGUGAUGUGAUAUAUAUAUAUAUAUAUAUAUAUAUAUAUAUAUAUAUAUAUAUAUAAAACAUUGAUUUUGUAACGAAAAAUAACGGACAUAUAAUAAAGAGAAUAUAUUUGGUAUUGAUUUUGUAAUUGUUGGCGAUAAUAUGAAUUGUCACAUGAGCUCACGAGUCAUCGAGUUGGGCCAAGUUGGACUAUGACUUGUACUGCAUGUCGAGCGGGCCAAGUCGUUGGAAAUAGGCAUAAGCUCAGGUGAGCUCGAUGAAAAUAAGCUUGAAGUCGAUGUAGCCCAAUAUGUAUAUACAUACAUAUGUGUGGUGGUAUUUUUAUCAUGGUGAAAUCAAAAGAAGAGAAAAGAUAGUAAAUUAAGAGAAGGGCAAACAAUGAAGAUAAAACUUUAGCAUUUAAGAUGUUUGAAGUAGAUUUCAUCCAUCACAAAAUUCAAUCCUAUAGGUAGAUUUUUAAAACAAUUAGGAUGUUCCAAACAUUAUCUAAUUAGUGGAAAAAAUACUAACACAUUUCACUUUUUAUGUUGUUGUGAAUUUUACUUUUUGAAAGUAAAAAGCUAAAAUUUUGAGUUUUUUCUGACAACAAAAAUUUUGCUACAAAAAAGUAAAAAAACAAUUGCAUCCAUGCUAACUUUUUGAUUUUUUUACUUUUCAUAGCAAAAAAGUAAUUUUUUUACGUGUAGCCAAACACCCCCUUAGACUCAUCAAAAUCAAUAAUUGUCUCCUCCGAUGUCCCCAACCACACCAUUUUUUCGAUGAAAUUUGGUAUUCCACGUUCAUCUAGCACAUGGAGAGUGAGAUGGUACACGACACCAAUCAAUUCCGAUUCUUGCAUAACUCUUGCCUUAACAACUCUUACAAAACCCAUAUUUGUUCCCUACAUGACACCACCAAUAGAAGAUCGAAAAACAAACUCAGUUAGUAAUAUGAAAGAAGAAACAAAAAGCGUUAGUUUGAUAGAUAGAUAGAUUAAUUUGUUACGUGAUGCAGCGGAAGCUAAAAUAAACUUAAUCUAAGAAUUAAAAUUGCAAGGAAUUGAAACAACGGAAAGGAAUUGCAAUAAGUAAAAGCUGAAAUUUAAAUAACUUGAAUGUAAAUUGCGGAAAAUAAAGAACUUGAAGUAAAAACUAAAUUGAAAGACAAUAAACUAAAUAAUAAACUCUUCAAUCAUCAAUUUUCGCUAAGAAAUUCGUUUUUGUAGCUCUUUAUAUAGAUAACUCUCUUGACACAAUUAGAAAACCUACUAGAACUUGAAUUACUUGUUCCCUAAGGUAUGUAUUAACUUUUGGCAACUUCCUAAGUCAAUCAGGACUCAAAAUAAGACUUCUAGACACUUCUAAAGACACUCUAAUUAAUAAAAACGAAAAUAACAAUUUAUAAAUACUAUUUAGGCUUCUAAAUAAAUCAUAAAUUCAAAUAGAAAACCAAUUGGGGUAUGUGUUAUGUCCUACAUCAUUACGUCCCUUACAUCAACAAAUACAUACCUUCAUCUGGUUGUUAUGCAUAAUUGCAGAAAUUGCAAUAUCUUUAAUCUUCUUAGUAAUUUUAACCGAUUGAAAGUUAUGUUUUAUAGUUUUCUCUCGUACUGGACCAAUUGCAUGUUUAGGGAAAGACUUGCAUGUUCACUGUUCUUAGAGACUUGUUCACUGUUCUUCGUCGACGUAUCUUCACUGAAUAUGCUAUACUCAUCUUCACCGAUUCUUUCUUCUUCUUCGAUUCUUUCUUUCUCUCUCUUUUUUCUUCUCUCUCUCUCUCUCUCUCUCUCUCUCUCUCUCACCACAAGGCUUUCCAUAUUUUUUUAAUAUUCCUAUUUAUAGUACUAGUGACCGACUGAUUAGAGCAUUCCCAAUAGUAAAAGGGUUUUAGGGGUGCCACGUAGGAGAGGGGGAGAAGGUUUUAGCAUAUAGUUAAUGUUAAAAGUGAAUUAUACUUUUAAGCUUGCCAAUAGUUGAUUUUAAAAUAAGUUUUAAAAACUAAAGUUUCACUUUUCCCAAAACCAUGGUGUAUAAAAUAUAAUAAAAUUUCAUUUAAAAUUAACUAAGUGAUUCUAUGUGGCACUUUUAAAAGUGAUCUGAUCCUACGUGCCAAGGAGUUAAAAGUGUUUUGCUUGAAAAGUGUGUUAAAACCCACCAUUGGCAAGACUUUUUUACUAAAAGGUUCUAAAAGUGUUUUAAAACCUACCAUUGGAAAUGCUCUUAGAGCAUUCCCAAUGGUAAAACACUUUUAGUGGUGCCACAUAGGAUGGUUUUAAGGAAUUUUGGGGUUUUCAAUGGUUUUAGCGAAAAAAGGGUUUUAGUGUUUCCAAUGGUGGAUUAUUGAAACCGCAAUCUAUGUGGGGUAUGGAUCCAUACCGCACUCAUUGUGGCGGAUGGAUCCAUACCGCACUCAUUGUGGCGGAUGGAUCCAUACCGCACUCAUUGUGGCGGAUGGAUCUUCUUUUAGAUGAGUCCAUACCGCACUAAUUGUGGGGUAUGGAUCCAUACCGCACUUAUUGUGGGGUAUGGAUCCAUACCGCACUAAUUGUGGCGGAUGGAUUCCUACGCGGCACUUUUAACUCCUUGGCAAAUUUGCCAAGGAGUUAAAAGUGUUUUGCUUGAAAAGUGUGUUAAAAGCUACCAUUGGCAAGUGUUUUCACUAAAAGUUAACUAAAAGUGUGCUAAAACGUACCAUUGGGAAUGCUCUUAGUGAAGGGAUUUUGGUUUCGUGGACUGGGCUUAACUAUGUCGGUCCAACUGGGUUUAAUUGUACUUGGUCCACUUUUGCAAUAAUUACAAAUAAUUAGGUUAUCAAUUUUAACUUAAUUAAUAGCCUAAUUAAAAAAAUAUAUUCUUUUUACUUUAGAGGUAUUUUUUUUUAUUUUAUCGAGUAUAAUAACUUAUUAAUGGAUAGAUAGCCUAAUCCAAGAGAUGCUAGACCACCCUUAUGGACUGUAUAUGAAGAGUACUAGUAAAACAUAUGGCCUUGAACAUGUGAGCAUAUACACAGAUGUUAUUCUCAUGGAGUAUCACUUGUUCACACAAAUUUCCUUGUUUUUGCCAGGCCAGCUGAGAAUUCUUAUAAAUAGAGAAGCCUUUGCAUAGCAUUUUCUGUGGGUGUGAAUGUUUAUUCAAAGUAGAUUUAUGAAGCAUAAUCAUUCAUUCAUACAUUACUUGUUCACCAGGAUAUUGACUCUCAGCUCUGUAUCUUUAAUAGUUCAAAGUGUUUUAUCUUGAACACUAAAGGCUUUAGAAGAGAACAAUUAGCUAUUUUGGUCCUCUAACUUUGUUCAAAUUUUCAGUUGAGUCUUCAAAGUUUAAACUGGCCAAUUUGGUCCCAAAUCUUUUAAAACCUUUGCAAAAUGAUCACUCAUUAUCUUUAUGUUUCCAAACAUUUAACAACAAAGUUGCCCAGUGGCAAGUACAUUAUCAUAUGUGGUCUAUCUCUACCUAAUUGCCCAAUAACUAUAUUUGAAGUAAAAAAACCUUGAGUUAAACAAUAUCGAAAAUGAUUAACCUCACCCUUUAUAUUUUGGCAUUUCAAAAACUGCCACGUAUGAUAGUAAACUACCACUGGACAACUCUGCUAAAUGCUUGGAAAUGACCAAACCAUUUUGCAAACAUUUUGAAAGAUUUGGGACCACAUUGACCAGAUUAAACUUUUUGGACUCAACUGAAAAUUUGAGCAAAGUUAGAGGACCAAAAUAGCUAAUUGUUCCUUUGGAAGAGGGCAAACUGUGAUUGCACUGAAAGAUCAAGAGUAACUAUUCUAUCUGUACAGAGUACAUAAGUAAUUUGUGUGCGUUAAGUAUUAGGUUUGCUUCAAAUAUUCAAGGGAUGUGUACAUAUCACACACAACAGCAACAACAAUCUGAAGCAUGUCAAUAUUCAAUAACAGGUUUAAUGAAAUGACAAAUUGAUUGCAACAAUACAAUAAAAAGCUUAAAAAGUUGAUAUUGCUGUCGAUUUUGUAAACACGUGAAACUUCACUAUAGCGAUUAGGUUGGAGAAAACCAGCAAGAUUGGUACUAAGAAAGGUUUAUUGUAGUCAUGAAUUAUGAUACAAACAUAUGUAAUAUUAUAAAGGAGGUUCAGCUGCUUCCACUUGAACAAAUGAGAUUGUUUCGGAUCUACCCGGAACUGUUGGAACUUGGUAGCUCGUCAGAGACCAGCAAGAGAAAAGUGUGUCUGUGUUCCCCACUUUGCAAAGCCAGUCAAACUGUCCAACCAGAUUCAAAGUUCAUCUUCCUAUAUUGUAAGUGAAGCUGAUAGAACUUUACUAUUCCCAUUUGACGCUUUCAAAAAGGGACAAUGCCCACUUGAUUUGGGCAAUCUCAAUUCCCUCCGCAGGUCUUACGUAUCUGUUGGAGAUGGAGACGCCCACAAACGGAGUAAUUUUUGUAAAUCGAUAUUGAGCUUUUUGAUCAGUAAAAUUAUUCUUGAUAGUAAAUCGAUACCGAGUUAUAGACAGUAGUUGUCCUCGAAUAUGCUGAAAAUAGACUAUCUUCCUGGAAAACCUUCUGCUGAAACCUGGAAGAGAACAACCAGCCAUUGGAACCCCAUAACACUGAAAUCCUAUCAAGUCAUAUACCUUCUUAAGUAUGCCAACAGUUACUGUCAUGCCAAGUUUGAAAAUAAGAUCUGAAAGCAAGAUCAAUUAUUGAAGUAACAAAACCUAAUGCGAGCUAAGCAAACUAUUCUGAUACAGAGGUUUGCCAGUGUUAUGUGAAGCAUAUCUACAGAGAAACUAAAUAGAUGUGCAGAUUCUCUAGCUGGUCUAGGUGCUAAUGGGGAUAAGCUCAAUGUAUUUAGGUCCAUUUCAGGAAGACCUGAUACACUUUAUAAACCAGGAGGCCAUCAAUACCUAGUACUCUAGAGUUUAGACUGUUAACAUUUUUUAUCUAAUAUACUGGUAGGAGUCUGCCAAAUCCCAGCUCAAAUUUUGCUAAAAACACUAUAUCCAAAGAAAAACAAAGCGAGGCAAGCAAACCUGUGUGUAUCCAUUUCUUUGAGUCUGGCACUGCAAUAGAUGUUUUGUGACUUCAUCCCAAUCUGCAUAUUACCCAUGUUGAUGUACAUGAACAAGAAAUUUCUCAGUUAUCUUUUUCAGUCUAUAAACUCCUUUUCUUGACACUGCUUGCUUCAAUUGCAGAAAACAGUGAAAGUUCUUACCAGGAAUGCGUUGAUAAUCAGGUUCAAUUCCAUUUCCAUUGAUAUCCAUAUGAUCUGGUGUAACAUACUUCCCAACAGUAACCACCACACCAGAUCCAUCGUUAAGUUCAAACACAGAUUGAAUUAAACCCUGAGCACAAAGUAAAAGAAUAUGAGAUUGAAUUAGCCAUUCCUGCAUACUUUAUGCUUGUCCAACUGGACUACACAUUACACUCAAACUGUAGAAAAAUAUAAAUCAAGAGAUCCGAUUUAAGUAGCAAACUCUCUAUUUAGAUUGAAAAGCUAUUAGGACAAGCAUAAAGUAUGCAGGAGAACGGCUAAUUAAAAACGUUAAGCCUUUAUUCACUAAACUAAAAAUGUAGCAACCAGCAGGCUAGUGUAAAAAUUGAUAUAAUGACCUUUCAUACCUUACCAUAUGUCCUGUCCCCAACAAGAACAGCUCUGCAAUUAUCAUGCAGUGCAGUGGCGACCUGAAACUUACCUUAGAUUAGAAUACUAACUCUGAAAGGAUAUAACUCAAGUAAUCAAGGAUUGCUAAAGAAUGAAGCUUACAAUUUCACUUGAGCUUGCAGUCUUGUUGUUCACCAGAACCUGUGCAAAGAGUAAUACUACAUGAACAUCGUUUAAAAUGCAAAAUUGUCCGAGAGAAUAAAAUGAAGUACAUUAUUGAGGAAAAUAAUUUGUAUCCAUAUCAGGUACAUACAAUGAGAGGUGCAGUAAUCAAAGGUGUGGUUUCUGCCGUGAUAGUAUUCUGAUACUGAGGAUCCCUUCCAACUGUGUAUACUACCUGUAUACAUUUAUCAACAGAUCAUGGUUAAAUAAUUAACGAUUGUUACAAAUACAAAAGCCUUAACAGUUGCAACUCGCACGAAUGAUAGGUAAAGGAAAAUUUGAGAUUAUACUAAGCGGAUAUGUAUCCUAAAUGUAAGGAAGCGAAAUAUAUAUAGUUCUCCUUUUUCUUUCAAUUCACUACUAUGAUUUGUUUAUCUCCAUCCAAGGCAAUCCAAAGUGCAAGCUGAAAUAGCAAAGGGACGUGAACUGCAAAAGGAAAUGCUCUUUCAGGAUUUUUGGGAGUGACAGGUGUUAAAACAAACUGAAUUAACUCCCUGUUUAUAAUCAAAUAUAUGAUAUCUUUUCAUGUAUCUUGGCUAGUUAAAAUUCCGUAGAAAGGACAAUGCUAAAGUUCUUAAUCAGAUCAUUCCUAGAUUUAUUUUUCUUGUUGGGAGGCAUAUUAUGAACAGGCAUUGAAAGCAAUGAUUUCCAAAAAAGCUGGAGUCUCAACCAUACAGAUGGUGUUUUACGAAAGAGAUUGGUAAUUGAUGUUCCUAAACACUAGUGGAAAACAUGAAUUUGCCAAAAAGACUGCAUGUUACCAAAUACGCAUACAAUGAGUUUUCAAGAACUGUCUAACAUAUUCAAACAAAUAAACAUGAUCAUAGCACUCAUUGAUAGAAGAAAGAAAUUAAAAGAAUGUGGAAAGUCAAUAUACUCAUAGAAAUUGCUUACCGUCUCCCCUUCAUUGAGAAAGAGUUUAGCAACUUCGAUUCCAGCCUGAGAUGAGAAAAAUGGUUGUAUAAAAGCCCAAAGGAAACACAAAAAACAAAACCAAAAAAUCCAUUAACCAUAACAAAUCUUCCAAACCAUCCAUGAACAAAUUUCAAAUUCAAUAGCAAGAGGAGGGUUUACACUACGAAGUAUAGAAAAACACAAAAUCACAUAUCAUAAUGCGAGCACAUGAUCUACCAAGAACACUAGCUAGUUCACUAAUCUCACAUCCAAUACUUUCUAGUGAGACAAUUAGACUCUUCACAAUUAUGACUCCACCAACUCCAUGACAAGAAUUGAUUUCUUCUUACUGUAUUGUUUUUCUUCUUGCAAACCUUACUUCGUUGUUGGGGCUUAAACCCUGCUGAGAUGGCCAGUUUCUUUGCUCUUGUUAUUAUACCAGAAAAGAAGCAUUCUCUGAACUGAAGAUGUGGCCACUGAAAAUUUCAAACUCAGAAUCAUAUUAUUCUUCUUCGUCAUCUACUACAUCGGUGUCCUCAAUUACAAAGAAAUGUGAGUUUUGUUUCCAUGGUGUACAAUAUGUAGUCACUUGUUAAGGUAAGAAAUCUAUCUCUUAAAUGAUGUUCAUCCACAAGCUCGCCUGUAGAGUAUUUUUAGUGUUCACCACAAGCUCACCCGUAGAGUAUCUAUGGUUCUUUUCGCUUUUAUCUUGAUCAUUUUCUUGUGCCGGCACCACUGCUUCAGCUACACUUUUAUCAUCUCCUCUUGUUUGAGAAUGAACUUCAAGGGCCCCAGUUUGAUCCUCCAAACGCACUCAUUGUUGGUUGAUGGGUCCUCCUUUACAUCCAUUACAGUUAAGUACCUAUUACUAAAUGCAGGAUUUCUGUUAGCGGAUGUCUUCUCUUUGUCUUUUCUGGUAGCUGGUUGUGACGGUCCUAUGUCCAUCUUCUCUUAGGUCCAAGGGUACAGCAUCUGCAACCGUAACACAAUUUGGGGUUCAUACCUCUGUUACAGGACUAUCCAAAGUCCGAGUUAAUCUAUGAUCAUAUUUUGCUUUGUCUUCCCAAUGGUUUGCAUCUACUACAAGAGCUUGGAAUCCAUGGAUACUCCAUCUUUACAACUGCAAUAUUCCUUAUCCCAUAGUUUAGCUUCAAGCUAGUUGCAACUUAAAAUCAACUCCCACCUCUACUACACAAACCUUAGAAAAGCUAAAUCAUCUUUUACUCAUAGGUUCAUCUAGGCAAAUAGGCUUUUCCUAACAUACUUGCCAUAAAUCUAAUGAUAUCCUCCUUUCAUAGCUGAUUAGGGACAUUCACAAAGUUUAGCCAAAUCGGUAUUGAUAUGAUCAAACUUCUGUCGCUCAACUUUUGUACAAGGUCGAAGCACAUAGAGUUUAUCAGCAAUGAAAUGGGCCCUUUUCCAACACUGCUUGUUCAUCUUCGUCAUUCACAAACUUGAAGUAGAAUAAUAUAUCAUUAUCUGCAACCAUGUCAAAUUUCCCAAAUUCCAAUGUCUGCAAAUCACAAAAGGAUAGGGUUCAAGGAGCAUAGCAGGUAUUUGAUACACUCAGUGACACCUCUAGUGCCGGUCUAGAGGCAGCUCAGCUGUUUCAUCAAUUUUAGGAAACACCCCGCAGCAAAUCCAUAAAACCAUUAUACUGGAAUUUAGUAAAAAUCAUAGUAUUGGACAAACCUGCACUAAUCCACCAAGGUUAUCUCUUAGAUCUAGAACGAAAUACGCAGCACCAGAGUCUUGAAGCCGCUUCAUUGCUGCAAAUUAGAACUAAAUUUAGUGUUAUUACUAAACAAAACAAAUGAGUGGAACCAAAAUCUUUCUAAUCUUAUCAUAAUAUUCUUAACACAAAAAUUUAUAGCAAAUGAUGAGUAUAUACCGGUGACCAAAUCCUUUCUAGCCAAAGCGUUAAACUCUUUCAAGCGUAUAUAUCCAACAGGAGCAGCUUUAUUAUCCAUUUGUUCUAGCCGGUAAAAUACCGGGGUUCGAGCAACAAGUUGCCUUUCGACUCGAAAUGACUGGACAGGACCACAAUUUCCAUGCUUAACCUACAGGAAAUAUACGCACAAUUUUUAGUAUCAAUCAAUGUAAGAAAUACUUCAUGUCACAUAAUUUAGAGAUCACAACCUCAACAGCCACAAAUGUUUCAGUAGGACCUUGUAGCAAAGAUAGUACUUCAGAGGACGACUUCCCUCUAACCUUCACUCCAUUAACAGACAAAACUUCGUCCCCCUAACAAGAGAACGUGGAUUUCAAGAAACCGUGAAUCAGAAAAAUUAGACUAUGAUCGAUAAAGUGAGAAAAACAAAGGUAUGUAUAAAACAUUUUAAGCAACAUGAUCACCAAAUGGAAGUUUUCAGCAGAUCAAAAGAACAAAAAGACACAGGAAAACCCUCACCUGAUAACUCAGAUAUUAAGCAACAAACAUUAAUUGGAUGCUUAAACAUUAGUUACAGAACCCAUCGACAUAAGUCAAUUCACAACUGUUCUUGUCACUAAAGAGGACUGAAUGCUGUGUUCUUUGAAAGAGUAUUCAAGAAGAAUAAAUUUGAGUGAGAUGUCAAGAGAGGAACUUAAUAUCUAAAUAGGUUAAACAUGGGCCGCUUUAGUAUGCAAGGGUAGUUUGUAAUAACAUGGCCCACUUGCAAACUCAUAAUUUCUUAAACAUGCAUUGAAUUAGAUAAUAAUCAUGUUUUGAUCAUGAGAAGCACAAGAUAGUAACUAAUUCUGUGUUUCCUGUAAGCAUGAUCAACAUCAUAUAUAUAUAUAUAUAUAUAUAUAUAUAUAUAUAUUUUAAACAGAUAAUGAGGUUAAGGCAGACCUCCACCUGUAUAUUCCACAUCUCAACCAAAAAGGUUACAAUCUCCCAAAGAAUAUAGUCUUUAAGAUGAUAUAUAUAAUCAUUUUACAAUCUCAACCUGUAUAUAUGAUCAACAUCAUAUAUGAUAUACCCUUGAGAAAAAACUUAUUUUCCAGCUUACGAUCAACUUUCAAAUGAAAAAUAAAAUAAUAUUUAAAUAUAGUCCAUGGUCCAAAUAUCUUCAGUUCCAUCUUUGUUUGUUUUAAAGGAAAGGGCAUACCUAAGAACCUAACCAACAUUAGAAUGAUUACACAAUGACUGGCAAAAGCAUAUUUCAAGAUCAAAAUCUCCAAGAAAAAAUGCCAAAAGUGUCCGGCUAUACACAGAAUGAAUACUAAAAAGUGUCCGGCUAUACACAGACUGAAUACUAAGAAAAAAAAAAAAAAACUUAACAGAAAGAUGAGUUGGCAAUGCGGAAAAGGAAGAAUUACAACCAUGUAAGCUGCAAACUACCAUAAGCUGACCAAAUUUUUUUUCUUUAUCAAUAUAAAAGUCAAUAUUACUACUACCUAAUACCAAUAGCAUGCAAGAAUCUUGUUCCUAAGAAUCAAAUCAAGGUAAAGUCUUCGAAGUGUUUGACAUAAAAGUAGAAUAACUGUAUAGGACAACAAGAGAGGAAUGACAUAUAAAUAUAAGAAAUCAUCACAAAUGUUGCCUCAAAAUACCUGUCUAACACCAGCAGUAUGAGCAGGGCCAUCCAGUAUGAGCCCAAGAACCUUUAACUUGAUCCCUCCAUUGUCAUCUGGAACUUCCCUAAGGUUUAUUCCAAUUCCAGACAUAUCAUACCGAGCCAUCUUCGAGAACUUUUAUCAACAAUGAAAGUAACAAAUCAUGUGGAAUAUACUACAAGUAGAUGCUACACAUGAUGCAAAUCACACGUAAAAGGUUCGCACUGACAUAGACACAAAUUUAUUCUUUUAACGAUGUAGCACGAGGAAAAGUAAUUUAUAAGGGUGAAAAAUAUGUACUAAUAGACCAAAAAAGAUUUAAAGAACAAAAAACGGGGGCAAGACAAUAGAAACACAAUGGUGUAAACAAAGAUUUCAAAUCCAUGAUCAUACUGUAGUCUAUAACAUUAGCUUCAAAAAAAGAUGGCAUGAAGGCAACUGCACGUAUUUUACAGGUAUGCUUGUGAUUAAGAUUUUUCACUUUUAAUGAAAUGAAAAACUUAAAUAUGACAUGGGAGACAUCUUAUUGGAGUGUCAUUGUUAUUAGGAAUGGGGACAAAUGCAAACCCUACAACAUUCCAACACAAGUGCAGCUAAUGAUUUUAAUAGUGAUAAAACAAACCUCAGAAGGGGGAAGGAACCGCGUAUAAGGAUCACCCAAACUAGCUAGCAUACGUCGGAUGAUUUCAUGAGCUUUAGAUCUGGUAGGAAUAGAGCUGCUAAUGAGAUCGUCCUUCUUUUUCUGAAAUAUAAAAUGAUAUAUAUGUUAAUGAUGAUUAUAUCGAUAUGAACUCAAAUAAGUUAAGAGAAGAAAACACAUAAGAAAGAAUUAAUCUAUACAAGGACAUGUCAGUACACUAAAUAAUCAAUAGAGUCGUAUUUACAUUAGAAUAUGUAGUUUCUGAAACAAUACUAACAGGGUACUCAAUGUUUUCGAAACUAAAUUUUUUGCACACGGCAAUUCCAAUACUCAAAGAAAAGUAGAAAACCAUAGUUGUUCAUACUACCACAGUGACCCGUUAAAAGUAUUUCUGUAUAAGAUAGUCACAAGAUUCAUAUAUCUAGUAAAUAACUAGAAUUAUCCAUAUUUGCUACAAAAAUGAUAAAUCUUUAAUCAAAGAACAAAGGCAUUGUGAUUUGUGAGCAUGAAUAUAAAAAAUAAUGAAAGAAAAAAAAAAGGGUAUGCUUACAAUCCAAUUAUCAAGAGACCAUUGAUGUCGAUCACUAGAAUCAAGAAAAGUCUCCUUAACAAUUUCCCAAGCUUCCUCAACAAUCCCUUCAUUGGUAACCAAUUCAGGAGCACUAUCUACUAGUAUUUGUUGUUGAAGUGAUUCUUCAUCUUCUUUACAAUAAUACUCAGAAAGGGUAGGUGAUGAUGGUGUUAAUGGUGGUAGUGGUGGUGAUAUAACUGAAGCAAUAGAAGAAGAUGGAGUAGAGAAGAGAAGAGUGAAUGAAAGUGUAUUAGUGAAGGCAUGAAAUAGCAAUUUUUGUGGCAAUUUGGUAAUUAAUUUGUUCAGUGUUGUUGCUGCUUUAUUAUUAUUAUUAUUGAUUAUUGCAAAUGGUGAUGGUGGCAAUGGUGAUGGUGAUGGUAAUGGUGGUGGUGGUGAACAGUUGCAGCAAAAUGGUGUCAUCUUUGUGUGUAUUGCUUGGUGAGCAUUUGGCUUGCAGAAGAGAAUGAAGAUGAGUGAAGAGAAACUUCAUGCUUUUGGGCUAGAACCCAUAUACUGAUCCGGCCCAAUUAGAGCCCACUAGUGUCAUAGUUCAUAUAGAACUUCCAUGCAUGACUUGCAAAAGUUACACUUGAGCAGCUAUAUUUUUUUUUCCUUUUGGGGUGCUUGCACAACCCAAGAUGUUCGCCUUUUGCUCAGGUGGGUUUAAUUUCAAUGGGGUACUUAUUAUAGAUACUAGGAUUUUAUGACCAACAUCUUUUGUAGGGUCAUAGCCUCAUAGAGUCAUAGGCACAAUGGGAGCACCAACGUCAAUGUGGCCUUGCUCUGGGGCGUUUGAUACCAAAACUUGAGUACUAGUAUUGGUCGUAGAGCUCUUUUUCUUGAUGUAGAGAUUUUUGGCUUGAUAAGAUUAACAAUGUCACACACUGCGUCACACAUAAUGUCAAUGGCAAAUAUUCAACAACAUUAUGUAUGGAUCUCAAGUAUAUGAUCUGAUUUAACAUGAGAUUAUUGUCUCACUGCAAUGGUGCAUUUUUUAACAAUUUCUUUAUUGACAACAACAUUACUGUGCCCAAACUUUAAGUAACUUUUUAAUCUUCGAAGAAGUUGGCAAUGAAAGAAAACUAGAACUUCAUGUGGAUGGAGAAACAAAAAAUGAUACAUAAUAACUUACUAUAUUAAUUAGAAAAAAAUACAAUUAUUAAAGCUCGAUGAAAGAAAAUUUUUCGUAAGAGAAGUUAAAAGCAAUUAUCCUAUGUUUUAUAUAGACCAGUGGAAACUCUUAUAUGUAUGCUACUUAGCUAAACAAAGUCACUAAGAAUUUCUUAUUUCCCAAAAGAUUCAUUCUAAGGUAUGCGCAAACAUCAACUUUGAAAUUAAUUAACAAAUGAUUAUACACAUAUCUAUAAGUGGGGAUGGUGAGAGAUAGAGAGAAAGCAAACCGAAACUAUGGCUCAAACCACCACAAAAAAUUGUCGACCUUUCACUGUCGAUUUUCUAAAACCCCUAAGUUUUCGUACACAACUUUCGCUCAAGGAGGAUUUUUAUCGCGAACAAUUAGGUCUAUGGGAGAUGUCAUUGUAGACUCAAUUGCAGUUAAGCUAGGAAUUAAACUCUUAGAGCAUCUCUAAUGCACAGUCUAAAAAUAGUUUUUUUAUAAUUUUGAUUAAACUCUCUCUAAUGCACGGUCUAAAAAUAGUUUUUUCUAUAAUUUUGUCCCUAAUGCAUAUGCUAUAACUCAUGCUAUAAAUGCAUCUGCUAUAAGCAUGGUUCAUUUUGGAACAAAAUAUACAACCUUCUAUCUCUAACAAAUGAUUUCUUUAUUAUAUAUUUUGGAAAGUACAUCAAUAGUUUCUUUCUUCCCCAUUUGUUCUAUUCUUUUUACAUCAAUAGAAGGUUGCAAAGUUAAAUAAAAGUUCUAAAUUUAGAAAGGUUGCAAAAUCUUAGAAAAUGCUAUAAAUGCUGAUGUGUCACCUAUGUGGCAUGCUAAAUUUAGACCGUGCAUUAAAAAUGCUCUUAUAGUCUCUCAAUAUCACUCAAUUCUUUUUUGGUAAAGAAUAUCACUCAAUUUUCAAACUUAUAAUAUCUACUUUAAUAGAAAGUAUAGUUCUUAAAAAAAAUCUCAAUUUACUUUAAUCAAAUUAAGUAACCACCUACGUAUGUUCACCCACAUUACAUUAUUAAUGUUUCUUCAUCCAACCAACUAUAGAAGAGAGACUACAAACCAUCUUGUUUCAUUUAUAUUUUUCUAUGGGAAAAGUCUUAUAGGGUAAGUGUAACAAUAUUAAAUGCGAGCUGAACUACAUUGGAUGACAGAUCACCAAUUCCAAUACCUAAAUUAAAUAUUUUAAUUCAAUUAUACCUGAAACAGUGGAUUACUUUCUUUAUAUAAAUGGCGUAAAAGAUAAAUACCACUUAAUGUUGAAUCCUUCUUAUCGAAAAAAAAAAAUCUUUCAUACCAGGGAAGGGUGCAAGUGUGAUGUAUCAAUUAUCACUUUGAGUUCACAGCAUAUCUCACAAACAUAUUUCAUAAUAGACUAGUUUUUAUUGUGUUUUAGAGCAUCCAAUCUCUAAUCUUGAUGAAAUAUAAACCUUCUAUCAACAAUGUAUCAAAAGAAUAAAGUUUAGCAAAGAACAUUUCUAGCGAACGCCUCUACAGGGCAAUCUGCCAAUCACACACAUGACACAUCUGACAUCAAAGCAUCCCUAAACAAGUAAUGUAGAUUUAUCUAAUUUAAUAAAGUUGUUGCUCGCUUUUGCAAAUCAUGAGAUAAACUUGUUUCAAACCUAUUUUCCCCCAGUUCCCAAAUCCAUGCUUGUUAAUGCCCUUUAACAAAGGAACAUCAUCUUCUGCAAAGAUAAAAAAAAAAAAUAAAAAAUUAAUUGAGGUGAAAAACAAAAAGAUAAAAAUAAUAAUAAUAAACCGUCGUUCCACUUUAGUUUCUUAUUUUUGAAGAAAUAGUGAAUGUGCUGCUAACUAAAAUUUAGAGGUAGGUAACUUCAGAAACCUCUUCAAAUAGGAGUGAAGAAUUUGAAGAUCACAUACUUGAUCAAAAAAAUCGAGUACAUUGACAUUUACUCCAGAAAAAUAUAAUUCAGGUAUGUGAUUAACAUAACUUUGCAAGACAUGAGGAUAUCCGAUGAUUUAUGUAAUUCUUUGUCUCCUUUCGAAUUUGGCAAUUUAUGUGAGCUUUAUCCCUUCCUGAAAUCUAAAGAAUGAGUGUGUCUUUAUAUCUUCCAAUAGAAGAUUGCUUAUGAACUCUAUUUCACUUUUUAGUGUCUCUUGUAAUUUUUCUAUAAUGGCAAAAAAUAAAACAAAUAAGAGAAGUAUUAAAAAAAAAUUCACAACAAGAAAAAGAAAAACAUUAGGGAUUUUUUUUUAACACUAGACAAAGGAGAAGAGAGAAAAAGAGAUUAGCUGAAAUAAAAUAAAAAACAACAACGAGAGAAACCAUUUUUUUUAAGGCUUUAAGUGGGUAGGUGUAAAUAAUUUUAUUAGGCGUGUUUUAAUUUUUUGGAUAACUCUUUUUAAAGAGUCUGGUGUCAAUACGAUUACCUUUAAAAUUUUCUUCAAUUAGGCUAUCAAUUUCAACUUAAUUGAUAGGAAGAGAUGUUUUCCAUAAGGGUAUUUUCUGCUGUAAUAAUCUAAGGGUCCGAUUUUAUUAGAUUUUACUUUUCAUAAGUAAAAAGCUAAUAUUUUGAGUUUGUUAAGAAAUCAAAAAAUUUGCUGCAAAUAAGUAAGUUUUUGUUACGACCCAAAUAUAAUUUUUAAUUUUUUACUUUAUGUAGUUAAAAAAUUAUUCUCUCCAUAAAGAUCCUGGAUCUGGGCUUUCUAUCCCAUGGGCCACCCUUUUGUCCUACAUCAGUUGAGUACCUGAGUAGUGGCUGAGAUCAAAAAAGCAAAGAUGCUAGACCACCCUUAGUAAAACACAUGGCCUUGAAGAAGCUCACAUUUCCUGCAUGUGGGCAUAAACAGAUAUUAUUCUCAUGGAAUAUCAGUGUUCAUACAAAUUUCCUUGUGUUUGCCAGCUGAGAAAUCUUAUAAAUAGAGAAGCUUUGCAUAGGCUUUUCUGUGGGUGUGAAUGUUUUAUUCAAAGUAGAUUUAUGAAGCAAAGUUGGUGUUUGAAUGUGAGGAUUGGAUGAAACCAAACUCCACUCAUCUUCUGGUUGCACAAAGAGUUUGGUUUCCUCCAAUAUCUCACCUUCAAAGCUACAUCAACUGUUAUAGACUUGUAGAUCAUUGUGACACUGGAUUCGAAUGUGAGAAUUGGAUGAAACUAAAGCCUUUUGUAUUCAUCAAUGGUGAAAGAGGGUUUAGUUUCCUCCAAUAUCUUACCUUCAACAGUCUCAACUUAAAUUCUACUAGGUGAAAGGUAUGAAUCAAAUCAAAUGAAAUCCUUCUCUUGGCUUGGCUUGUCUUGUCUUAUCUUCUGUGAACAAGCAUAAUCAUUCAUUCAUACAUUACUUGUUCACCAGGAUAAAAGUUGUAUUUAAUUUGCUUUCUUGCUUUUCAGUGCGAUUAAGAGAAAAAAAUUGCAUUUAUAGAUGACUCUCAGGCUCUCAGCUCUGUAUCUUUAAUAGUUCAAAGUGUUUUAUAAUUUAUACUGAAUACCGAAAGCUUUGGAUGAGGGUAAACUGUGAUUGCAAUGAAAGAUCAAGAGUCACUAUUCUAUCUGUACGGAGUACGUAAAUAAUUUGUGUGUGAAAGAUCAAGAGUCACUAUUCUAUCUGUACAGAGUACGCAAGCAUUUGCUUCAAAUAUUCAAAGGAUGUGUACAUAUCACAACAGCAACAACAAUCUUGAACUUGGUAGCUCGCCAGAGACAAGCAAGAGAAAAGCGUUUCUGUGUUCCCCACUUUGCAAAGCCAGUCAAAAACCAGAUUCAAAGUCAUCUUCCUAUAUUGUAAGUGAAGUCUGAUAGAACGCUAUUAUUCCCAUUUGACGCUUUCGAAAAGGGACAAUGCCCACUUGAUUUGGGCAAUCUCAAUUCCCUCUGUAGGUCUUAUGUAGUUAUGUAUCUGUUGGAGAUGGAGACACCCACAAACGGAGUAGUUUUUGUAAAUCGAUAUCGAGCUUUUUGAUCAGUAAACUUAUUCUUGAUAGUAAAUCGAUACCGAGUUAUAGACAGUAGUCGUCCUCUAAUAUGUUGAAAAUGGAUUAUCUUCCUGGAAAACCUUCUGUAGAAACCUGGAAGAGAACAACCAGCCAUUGGAACCCCAUAACACUGAAAUCCUAUCAAGUCAUAUACCUUCUUGAGUAUGCCAACAGUUACUGUCAUGCCAAGUUUGAAAAUAAGAUCUGAAAGCAAGAUCAAUUAUUGAAGCAACAAAACCUAAUGCGAGCUAAGCAAACUAUUCUGAUACAUAGGUUUGGCAGUGUUAUGUGAAGCACAUCAAUAGAGAAACUAAUAGAUAUGCAGACUUUCUAGCUGGUCUAGGUGCUAAUGGGGAUAAGCUCAAUGUAUCCAUAGGUCCAUUUCGGGAUGACCUGAUACACUUUAUAAACCAGGAGGCCAUCAAUACCUAGUACUCUAGAAUGUAACAUUUUUUAUCUAAUAUACUGGUAGGGGUCUGCCAAACCCCAGCCCAAAUUCUGCUAAAUAAACUGUAUCCAAAGAAAAAGAAAGCGAGGCAUGCAAACCAGUGUGUAUCCAUUUCUUUGAGUCUGGCACUGCAAUAGAUGUUUUGUGACUUCAUCCCAAUCUGCAUAUUGCCCAUGUUGGUGUACAUGAACAAGAAAUUUCUCAGUCAUCUAUUUCAGUCUAUAAACUCCUUUUCUUGACACUGCUUGCUUCAAUUGCAGAAAACAGUGAAAGUUCUUACCAGGAAUGCGUUGAUAAUCAGGUUCAAUUCCAUUUCCAUUGAUAUCCAUAUGAUCUGGUGUAACAAACUUCCCAACAGUAACCACCACACCAGAUCCAUCGUUAAGUUCGAACACAGAUUGAAUUAAACCCUGAGCACAAAGUAAAAGAAUAUGACAUUGAAUUAGCCGUUCCUGCAUAUUUUAUGCUUGUCCAACUGUACUACACAUUACACUCAAACUGUAGAAAAAUAUAAAUCAAGAGAUCCGUUUUAAGUAGCAAACUUUCAAUUUAGAUUGAAACUAUCUGGACAAGCAUAAAGUAUGCAGAAGAACGCCUAAUUAAAAAGGUUAAGCCUUUAUUCACCAUUUAAAAAUGCAGCAACCAGCAACUAGCGUAAAGAUUGAUAUAAUGACCUUUUCAUACCUUACCAUAUAUAUGUCCUGUCCCCAACAAGAACAGCUCCACAAUUAUCAUGCAGUGCAGUGGCUACCUGAAACUUACCUUAGAUUAGAAUACUAACUCUGAAAGGAUAUAACUCAAGUAAUCAAGGAUUGUUAAAGAAUGAAGUGCUUACAAUUUCACUUGAGCUUGCAGUCUUGUUGUUCACCAGAACCUGUGCAAAUAGCAAUACUACAUGAACAUCCUUAAAAAUGCAAAAUUGUCCGAGAGAAUAACAUGAAGUAUAUUAUUGAGGAAAAUAAUUUGUAUCCAUAUCAGGUACAUACAAUGAGGGGAGCAGUAAUCAAAGAUGUGGUUUCUGCCGUGAUAGUAUUCUGAUACUGGGGAUCCCUUCCAACUGUGUAUACUACCUGUAUGCAUUUAUCAACAGAUCAUUAACAAUUGUUACAAAUACAAAAGCCUUAACAGUUGCAAGUCGCACGAGUGAUAUGUAAAGGAAAAUUUGAGAUUAUACUAAGCGGAUAUGUAGCCUAGAUGUAAGGAAGGGAAAUAUAUAUAGUUCUCCUUUUUCUUUCAAUUCACUACUAUGUUUUGUUUAUCUCCAUCCAAGGCAAUCCAAAGUGCAAGACUGCAAGCUGAAAUAGCAAAGGGACAUAACUGCAAAAGGAAAUGCUCUUUCAGGAUUUUUGGAAGUGACAGGUGUUAAAACAAACUGAAUUAAGUACCUCCCUGUUUAUAAUCAAAUACAUGAUAUGUAUCUUGGCUACUUAAAAUUCCGUAGAAGGGACAAUGGAAAAGUUCUUAAUCAGAUCAUUCCUAGAUUUAUUUUUCUUGUUGAGAGGCAAAUUAUGAACAGGCAUUGAAAGCAAUGAUUUCCAAAAAAGCUGGAGUCUCAACCAUACAGAUGUUGUUUUACGAAAGAGAUUGGUAAUUGAUGUUCCUAAGCACUACCGGAAAACAUGAAUUAGCCAAAACGACUGCAUGUUACCAAAUACACAUACAAUGAUUUUUCAAGAACUCUCAGACAUACUCUAACAAAUAAACAUGAUCAUAGCACUCAUUGAUAGAAGAAAGAAAUUAAAAGAAUGUGGAAAGUCAAUAUACUCAUAGAAAUUGCUUACUGUCUCCCCUUCAUUGAGAAAAAGUUUAGCAACUUCGAUUCCAGCCUGAGAUGAGAAAAAUGGUUGUAUAAAAGCCCAAAAGAAACACAAAAAACAAAACCAAAAAAUCCAUUAACCAUAACAAAUCUUCCAAACCAUCCAUGAACAGAUUUCAAAUUCAAUAGCAAGAGGAGGGUUUACACUACGAAGUAUAGAAAAACACAAAAUCACAUAUCAUAAUGCGAGCACAUGAUCUACCAAGAACACUAGCUAACUCACUAAUCUCACAUCCAAUACUUUCUAGUGAGACAAUUAGACUCUUCACAAUUAUGACUCUACCAACUUCAUGACAAGAAUUGAUUUCUUCUUACUGUAUUGUUUUCCUUUUUGCAAACCAAAGUUCGUUGUUGGGGCUUAAACCCUGCUGAGAUGGCCAGUUUCUUUGCACUCAUUAUUAUACCAGAAAAAAGAAGCAUUCUCUGAACUGAAGAUGUGGCCACUGAAAAUUUCAAACUCAGAAUCAUAUUAUUCGUCUUUGUCAUCUAAUCUUAUCAUAAUAUUCUUAACACGAAAAUUUAUAACAAAUGAUGAGUAUAUACCGGUGACCAAAUCCUUUCUAGCCAAAGUGUUAAAUUCUUUCAAGCGUAUAUAUCCAACAGGAGCAGCUUUAUUAUCCAUUUGUUCUAGCCGGUAAAAUACCAGGGUUCGAGCAACAAGUUGCCUUUCGACUCGAAAUGACAGGACAGGACCACAAUUUCCAUGCUUAACCUACAGGAAAAAAUAUACGUACAAUUUUUAGUAUCAAUCAAUGUGAAAAAUACUUCAUGUCACAUGAUUUACAGAUCACAACGUCAAUACUCAAUAGUCACAAACGUUUCAGUAGGACCUUGUAGCAAAGAUAGUACUUCAGAGGACGACUUCCCUCUAACCUUCACUCCAUUAACAGACAAAAACAACAAAGGAAUUGUGAUUUGUGAGCAUGAAUAUGAAAAAUAAUGAAAGAAAAGAAAAGAGUAUGCUAACAAUCCAAUUAUCAAGAGACCAUUGAUGUCGAUCAUUAGAAUCAAGAAAAAUCUCCUUAACAAUUUCCCAAGCUUCCUCAACAAUCCCUUCAUUGGUAACCAAAUCAGGAGCAUUUAAUUUUCUACAAUUUGUUGUUGUUCAACUUCUUUACAAUAAUACUCAGAAAGGGUAGGUGACGAUGGUGUUAAUGGUGGUGAUAUAACUGAAGCAAUAGAAGAAGAUGGAGUAGAGAAAAGAAGAGUGGAUGAAGUAGUAAUUUUUGUGGAAAUUUGGUAAUUAAGUAGUUCAGUACUGUUGUUGCUUUAUUAUUAUUAUUAUUAUUGAUUGUUGCAACUUGCAAAUGGUGAUGGUGGUGAGCAGUUGCAGCAAAAUGGUGUCAUCUUUGUGUGUAUUGCUUGGUGAGCAUUUGGCUUACAGAAGAAGAAUGAAGAUGAUGACUGAAGAGAAACUUCAUCCUUUUGGGCUAUAAUUAAAUCUUCAACCCAAUGGGCUAUAACCCAUAUACUGGUCCAGCCCAAUUCGUAAUUUUUGUUCAUAAAGCCACUAGUUUCUCAGUUCAUCAGACUUCAGACUUCAGAACUCCCCUGCAGUAGUCACCAACAUCUUCUCUUGGUCAUACCGUCAUAGGCUCAGGCUGGGCACAACCAAAGAUGUCCCCUUUUUUUCUGUGGUUGUUUUAAUAUAGAUACUAGAAUUUCACUAACAUCAUUGGUUAGCCUCAUAGGCACAAUGAGAGUAGCAAUGUCGCUUCGGGUAUAAUCAGAAUAGGCUUCACCCAAAUACAGAACAAGUAGUUACCCUAUUACAGUUGUGCAUUAGGGUUUAGGGUUUAGGGUUGUCAUCCCUAAACCUUUAAUCUAACUAACAGAUUCCUUCAACUCGAGUAUGAAAGUAUUUCACUAAACAUCCCUAGUUGACUUUCAUUUGCUCGUAGACGUUGUCAUCCCAACUCUUUAGCAAGAGGUACGACGGAGAAUUUUAUCAUAAUGCCUGCAUUUUGGUGGCCUCCAAUUAUAUUCAACAAAUAUAGUUAAUCACCAUUUUUUUUUAUCGAUCACACAUGUAAUUUCCUUCUCAAACUUGCAUAGUGUAUCUACCUCAAUUCAAACCCUUGCAGGAGAAGUCUUCUUUCUAUCUUAUGUGAGUUUAUCGGGAAAUUUAGACCACGUAAUGGACCGAUCUCUUGAUUAAACCCCCACGUAUUUGAAAAGUUUGACUUUACACCCCACUGUUUGCUUCCGUCAAGUUUUCCAUCCAAACAUUAUUUUUACGUUCUCAAAUACUUUUCAUUCUCUUAUGCUAAAACCCCCAAAAGUACCCACACUCACAUAUGGUUAGAAAGUAAGUUAAAAACUAAAAUUAAUUUAGCAAUAACAUCUCCUUCUAAAUGAGUUGCAACUUGAUCAAAAUUAUUUCUUCUUCUUCUUCUUCUUCUUCUUCGUUUCAAAUCUAACCUUGAAAUCGAAACAAUCACAACAAUGAACAAUGGGGAGGGUCAAUCUUAGGUAAGUGUAUGAUUUCUUUGAAGGAUCUGUCUUCUUCUCAAAUUUAUUUGAAAUUUAAGAAAUCGAAGCAAUUGCAACAUAUAAUCACAAUCAUUAUUGUUAAAUUAAGUGAAAAUUGUGUGGAAAUGGUGUACAUUUACUUUGAAAAUUUGAAAAGUCCUCUUCUACUAUUUUCCUCCAAAACCCUAACAAUGGAGUGAAUUAAGACAGAGAAGAUGGGGAGUUUUAGCUAAUAAGAAAACGAGGGGCAUUUGGGAAAGUAAAAAUAUAGUUUGGAUGAAAAACUGGAGGAAAACAAACGGUGGGGUGCAAAGUCAAACUUUUAAAAUAUGUGGGGGGUUUAAUCAAAAGAGGUCCAUUAUCUGGGGGGUUAAGUCUAAUUUUCCCGAGUUUAUCAGCAAACAAAAGUACUCCAAUAGUAUUACAUACUUUACUAAAACCUAAUCAAAUUGGUUACCCUUAUAUUGGAUAACAUUUCAUCACAACCCAAUUUGGAAUUGUUUUCAUCUCUCUCACCUUAGCUUUAAAAAAAAAAAAGUUUUCCAUGGCCACAUAACGAACAACUGACUUGCUAUGUGAAAAGUACCCAUGUCCAACAUAGUGCUUCUAUCUUUAUCAGAUUGGAAUCUGAAAGUAGAAAUAGACUCGCCAUAUGGCAAGAUUGUGAACGGUUGCUUCAACUUCCAUGCUUUCGUGCAAACGUUUUUGUGAGAAAACAUGUCUCUUUCCCAUAAAAUACCCCACUACCAAAUCUGAGUAUUUGUCUGCACAUGAUGCACAUGAAUAGUUGUUUGGACAUAAUAUGCACAAUAGGUUUUCCUUCCACCAUCGUAAGUGCUAUGUAUUUGAAGUUAAUCUUUCCAGCUACUUUUCGAUCAAGAAUGAUCGCCAAAGAUCCUUUAUUCUCUUCUACAAUUUCCAUCACCAUGUUGCCCUCUUUUUCAAUGGUUGGAGGUAGAAUAUCCAUCUUUGAACCAAUAUUCUCCACCCUCGUAUUAUUUUUCUCAACUUCAUUUAUUUGUAACCCUAAUUCAGGUUACGUGUAAGUUGUUUUCUUUGCUCUCUCAAACGAGUAAAUUCUUCUCAACAUAUCCCUCACCAAAUAUUUUUGUAAUCACCUCUACAAUCUGCAGCCGAUCUUUCUCACUUACAUCUCCAUCACUACUCUAAAUAGGGUUUCUAGAAAGAGAAACCCUAGUAUUAGUUGCAAUCGGGGGAUACUUUCAUAAAGUCAAUGAGCAGUAAAAAAAAAUCCCAAUUAUGUUUACUCCUUGUACUUGACGCAAUUGUCACCCACCUAGGCUAGGUGCCCCCUCACUCAUCCCAGAGUGUCGAGCACCAUACCGCUUGCUAAUGUCAAUAUUGUCCCUCUUUAGUCGUUGCAGAUAUCCAUCAGUAUAGGGUUUUGGAUAAGAGUCCACCCAUUUGGUUUUCCCAAAAAAACCUUGACAUUAGUUAGAGUAUGGUUAAAUUCUAUAUAUACUAUGAAUACAACCACUUCCUAGCUAGACGAUGUGGGACUAACCCAACUCUUGGGUCUUACAAGUGGUCUAGGAGAACUCGCAUGGUGGCGGCCAACCAACCGGGUUGCACACUUCCUACUUCCUAAAUGGAUUAACACUGGGCUGGGCCAGUAUUAAGCCACCCCCACCCUCCAUCGAUUCUUAUAGGUGAAAGUUGGGCUGGGCUAGCCCAAUUCCCCUAAUCUAAAUGGGAUUUGGGCUAAAGUGGGUUGAGUUGGGUUACGCUUAUCAACUUGUCAAAGUUUGUCCCCAAAGCCCAAGAGUCAGUUUGGAAGGAAACAACGACCGACCGUUUGGCGUUUGAGUAAACAAAGAAAUCGAAUCCCUAAUUUCCAAAAACCAAAACCCUAACUUCCCUAAUUUGCAAAAUUUCUACAAAUUAAGUGGUAAAGAAUGGAAAUUGAAGUUUUGAAAGAUAAAUUGGUUGAUGUUAAGGCAAAUAUCGAAAAGAAAGAAAGCUUCUUAGAAGCUUUGGCUUCGUUUAAAGAACUGUUGUUGCAUGAGUAUGAAAAAUCACCACUUCUGAUCCAAGAAUUGGUAUGUAAUUUUUUUGAUUAUUUAGUUUUUCUUGUGUUGGGGUUUAUCUAAAAUUUGCUUAAAAGUUGAAUUUUGAAUAAAAAUUGAAAUUUGAAAUGCAUGAUGGUCAUUAGGUGAAUUUUCUUUUUGGUUUUUCUUUUUUUUAUUUUAUCAAUUCAUCAAAAUUUCUAGACUUUGGGCUGUUUUGAUUGGAUUUGGACAUUGUUGUUUAUAAAGAAUGAAUAUUUCAAACAAAAUAAUAAUAUUGGAAUUUGGUUCCUUUUUUGUAUAAUAUAGAUUAGUUUUCAGGUUAUGAAACCUUGUAUUAUUCAUAUUCUUUUUGUUUUCUGGUAAAUGUUUUUUUUUUAUUAUUGAUAUUAGGUUUCUUAAAAUAAAAACUAUAGCAGUCUGUAAUUCAAAAUGAGAUCUUUUGCAUUGCUCACCAACACAAGGGGAUUAGAAUUCUCCUAGAAAAGCACUUGUCACCCUAAAAGGUAAAUACCAAGUCUUCCAGCAGGGUGAUCAAUAAAUCAUGACGAAUACUACCCAUUUAAUUAGAAUUUCGCUACAAAUUAGUCGGGGUCCAGUCAGGUAUAGGAUUAGUUAUUACUCAAACCUCUCUCCCCCCCCCUCUCUUCUGUCCUCUUUUUUUCGACUGUAUAAAUAUAUACAUUUCUAAGAUCUUGUUUUUUGAUAAAAAAUAAUGCUGUAGAUGUUUACCAUUAUACUUCGAGUUGGGAUCAUACUACAAUCACGAUAUACUUCUGACGUGUGUUUGGAGGCUGGAUUGGAGAUUUUUCGGAAUGCCUGGAAUGUAGUCAGUGAAAAGGAGAAGCCGGAUCUUUACAUAUGGAUUAAAAAGUUGGAUGGAAUUUUGAACUAUAACCCCAAGACGUUUGACUCAGCCAGCUCCAACUAUCUGUUCGAUGGACAUUUAACAGUUGAUCCUGAACCUCCAUGCCCUGGAUGGAUGGUCGUUCGGGAUGUUUUUGAUCACACAUGCAACUAUAGAGUUAGGCGUUUUCACCAGUUUGUUGAUGUUGUGCAAGCCGACUCACAGGUAUAUGUUUUAAAUUUUUCUACAAUGGAUUUCUCAUUUGGCGUGUGUAGUCCAGUAUUCCAGUUAACGUUUUAUUAGAUGUCUUUAGACUAUUUUUUCUAAAGUUUUGUUAUAUUAGUUGCUAGGAUAUGAUAUAUUAGAGUCCUAAAGAUUUUUUUUAAUUAGUAUUGGAGUUUGUGUGGAGUUGUUUUAAUCAUAUUAGGGUUUUGGAUAAUGUUCUGAGAUUAUUAUAUUAGCUUAGCUGUGUUCUGGUUUAAUUUCUGUCAUUUCCCCUGUGGUAAUGAAUGGAUUUGGAUUAUAUUAUAUAUGCUGCUGAUCAAUUUUAUGCUUAAUCUGUAUGCAAUGGUACCUCAUUGAAAAUUUGUGCUUAUACUAUACAUUUAUGUGUUGCUAUUGUGGACUGGAGAGUGGAAUGUUUACUUGUUUACUGAAAUUUGUGUUGUUUUGGUUUCUACGCUUAAAACCAUUGUGCGAUCCUAGUAAUUUUCCAGCAAUACCUUUACUAACAUCAGUAUCUGGAGCAAUUAGAGAUCUUAGUCCGAACUUUUAGGGAUCAUUAAGCAAAUCUGUCAAUGUGUUUCUUUUUAUUAUCUGAAACUGUUGACUUAUGUCCCGUUCGUUUGCCUGUGAUGAAGGGCAUUAUUAGUUUAUAUGUUUUUGAUUGAAAGAACCAAUACAAGGCAAGGAUUUUCCUAUUAAGGUCACUGAUUUGAGAGGUUUCUUUGUUAAAAACACAGCUUAUAGAUUUUUGUUCUUUUAUCAAACCAUGAGAAUCAAUAUGACAAUUAAUGGUUUUGAAUAUACAACUCAUAAGUGGAUACUAGAUCCAUCCUUUAUUGAAGACAAGAUUUCUGAUUAACAUAAAGCAACUAUGAGCCGGAUUUAAGCAUGGCAGAUAACUGUGCCUGACAACUUUUUUUAGGGUACUUAGGUUUACAAAUUUGUAUUCACAAAUUCCUUGAUUGUAUGCUGUUAAGUUGAUAAGGACCUAGCUGAAAUGAAUGGCACCCCUAUUAGGGCAACCAACCUUUCAUCGAACGACUUUCCUUCAAUAUUUUUCUUUUACAGGAGUUGAAUCUCACUGUCAUUGGCAUAGUGGCAGUUUUACAUGUAUCAGUUCAAAUUCAACUUUGUUUAUCUUUUCUCAAGCCUCUUAGUCUACAAAUCGCUUAUCAUGUAUCUAACAUGUAUCAUAUUUAAAUAUUUGAUUUAGAUGCUUAUCAAAAUUGCUCAUUGUUCAAGCUUUCACCUUGUUUAACAUAAUACGAUUAGAUAGAUAGUAUUGUUUAAAAAUAAAAAUAAUAAAUGUUUAUUUUCUUUGUUACCAUUCAUUCAUUUAUUUGUUUCUUCUUUUGUUUUCGGAAGCAAGAAAUAUUAAUGAGCCUACAUUGUUUUGUUUAUUAUUUAAGGCAAUUGAUUACGGACGACCACCAGCUAGUCGGGUUGUGGUUACUACACUUCCCGUUAUUAGUCUGACUGAGGAGCAUCUUUCUAGACUGGGUUGUGGAUCUGAAUGUGCUGUAUGUAGAGAGGAGUUAAUCAUUGAAGACAUGAUGCAAGAGUUACCUUGCAGGCACUUGUUUCACCCGGCAUGUCUUCAACCAUGGCUGGUAAUUAUUUUCUUAUUUUAUUUUUUAUCCUUUAAUAUUAAACUUGGGGUUUUCAGAUUAUUGUACACCUAAUUAAUCCAUAAUUAUACUUUGGCCCACUUUUAAUCCAUAAUUACACUUAAGAGCAAAAAUCAUCAAUAACCAAACUGGCCUUUCCAAAUUUGAUGUUUCUGGAAAUAGUCUCAUUGGUUGUGUUCUAACAGUUGUUUUAUCUCACUUUGAUGUUUAAUUGUUCCUGAUUUAUGGUGUUAGUUUGUAGUUUAGGAGUGUCUUCAUUUUGGUUCAUGUACUAGAGAAGAGUUAAUUUUGUCCAUGUAUGUUCAUUGAAUCUUAGAAUUCCCCAUAAAUUUUCCAUGUAUUUUGGCAGGAAUUGCACAACUCCUGUCCAAUGUGCCGAUACGAGCUCCCAACAGAUGAUAUCCGUUAUGAAUGCCAGAAGGAAAAGGAUAAAGAAACCAGAGAAGAAUGCAAACGGCGAGACAACGCAUUAAUUAGCGAGUAUAUGUAUGUAUAGAGAUAAAAAGGUACAGCUCAUUGAUCUUUUUCUAAUAAUCUUUUAGUCCACUACUUAUUUAACUUGACGUGGAAAAUGUCUAGUGUUUUAUGACUUUAUGAACUAAAACCGUUUUAAGCGGCAAGAUGCCUUCUGAACAUUUACUACUUAAGUCAAAUGGCAUGAUGCACGAUAACCUAUGGUCUGGCUGUACAGUAGUAGCGGAGCGUGCAGCUUUGACUUUUUGUAGAAUACCAUUACAAUAGAUAAUUUGAAUCUAUAGUAUUCUAAUAAGUUAGCUAUUCCCACUCGUAUACUAAGAAUAGAAGAAUAGGAAAAAAAAGUGGUAUCAAAUGAUCCUAUCAUAGCGUAGCAACACCCACCUUUGAUCUUGGAUUAAAAGCAAUAAGAACAGAAUCACAGAUUGGUACUCCUUAUUGCGCUAUCAACACAGACGUACCCAGCCUAAACCUUAGUUAACAAACAAAGCAUAUAAUAUUUUCCUAAAUUAUAAAUACAUUUAAUUAAUCCUAUAUUCAACGGAUUUGCAACUUACCGUUGCUAAUACAUUUUAUUAAACAAUAUAACUUUCAUUGUGCCAAUGGCCAAAUUAAAUACAUUCCAGACCUGCGUGACUAAUUAUAAAAAAUGAUGAUGAUGGGUUUUGCGGUUUAUUUAUGAUAUUUUAAACAUUAGACUGUUUCAAAUUGUAAAAAAUGUUUUGAUAACUUAUGCGGGGUUAUAUACUCAGUGCAGUUCAGGAUGGUAAAAGGCACGAAAACAUGACUAAUCAAACAAAUUUAAUACGUUAAUACACAUAGUUUGAGUAGGAAACUGAAUACAAAUCUAGGAGCGAGAGAUAAUUCUGAAGAAAGAGAAGCAGCAGUAACAGAAACAGAAACUGCAAUGGCUGUGAUAGAGAGGAAACGUAGUCCCAAAUUAGAAAUAGAUGCUUAGAGAGAGAGAAAUACAACAUUCUUAAUUUUGCUGGCAAUAGGGUAACAUCAGUGUCUGGUGACAGGUUGGGAGAGAUAUUCCAAGAUGGGGUUUUUCAUAGACCAUGAAAUGUAUAAAGAGAUUCUGAGAAUGGAGACUUGGAAACCAUAAAUGCAUAUGGUUUACUUCAUUUCAUACAGGGAAUUGGGGCCAGUUUCACUAUUCUACAAGGUUUUAGUGGGCUGUCUGAGGCUCCAAACCCACCGCCAGUAGUUUCUAGUCGUUUUGUUUGACUUUAGAAUAUAGUGACAAUUUUUUCGGUGUAAACCAAUUUUUUCUCACGAUUGGGGUUUAUUUUAAUGUUUUACAUGAUUAUACAGGACAAAUUUUAAAACGAACAGUUUUUAAGUGUGUUUUAAGAAAGCUGAGAUUGGCCUCGUUAGAGCUCUAUUCAGAUAAAUCAGCUAAACUGAUUAUAGGUCUAAUCAGUUAAUCUCCAAUUGACUAGACGUCUAAUCAGUUAAUCUCCAAGUAAUUGUUGGCUUGUUUCUUCACCUUGAAGCUUCUGCCUUGGUUGUCAAGUAUACAGGUACACCUAUGUGUUGAUUAGAGGCUUAGAGCUCUACUCUGCAACUAAUUAAUAGUCUAUUAAGUUUAUUGGGGUAAAUUAAAUUGAUUAAAGCUCUAAUCAGUCUCGUAGGCUUAAAUAUGAAAAUUAGAAACAAAUGCUUCCCUUCAAACCAAAGCCCUAUAAACAUUACAACGAAACCACAUUCCUCCUCAUUCAAGCUUCGAAUCCAUACAGCCAGACAGGUAGUCGUUCUCUGUACUUCCCUUUUUGUCCUUUUCUCAACUAUGAGGUCAUCUGUUUUCUGACAAACUUAUUCUCUCUUCAUCAUUUUCCCUAUUUUGGAUUUCCAGGAAUUAUUUUUCUUAUCAUUUUACUAAGGGCCUCACUGGCUUGGGCUAAAACACCAAUAAAACUAACAUCAUCAGGUCUCAAGCCAGAGGACUGCAGCUUGUCGAACAAUCGUAUUGCAAAAACUUGCCGUGCCCAUUGACUGGUAGGCCUAUUCUCAUAGGGUUCCAACUUGAAAGUCCUCUCUUUGGGGCUGUCAUGAACACUUCAAAACAUGUCUAUAAUGGCAGUCAAAACAAUAGUAUCAAUAUCAAUUUUGCUCUUGUUGAAGUACGCAUGGAUCCAUUUCCCCUGUUCUAUAGCAUGUGCAUUCAGUACUAGGCUUGAUUCCUCUCUCUAAACCUCUCGUUUCUUACAUACCACCUAUCAUUGAAGUCCAAGAUAUUGUACUUUUCAAUGGCAUUUUAUCAAACAACCUUCUUGAAUCGUCAAUUAUUUUACUUUCAGCAAGACCCCAUAAUCAUAGAAGUCCAAGCAACCACAUCAUCCAAGUAAGUUGGUAUUCUCAUGGACCAAUGUAGGCACUUCAAUCAGAUAACCACAAUUGGCAUACAUAAAGAUGAUAGUAUUCCGAAUGAAGGGGUCAGAUUCAAGUCCAAGUUUUAUAAUUCUAAGAUGACCAAGUUGUGCAUAAUCUUUUAAGAGAGAAGGUAAAGUUAGCCUUUGUGGUUGGACAUCUGCAUAGUGCAACAUCUCAAUAAACAAAGAUACAGCAACAUAAGUGUGGAACUUUGGGAAAACUUCAGUCUUCUUAUGAUAUCCUAACUGCAAGAUCUAGCAGAACCAAGUGGUUAUAAACCAAAAAACAACUUUACAAUUGCCAACCAAAAAACAACUUUACAAUUGCCAACCAAAAAACAACUUUACAAUUAUAAAGGACCUGAAUGUCAAUAAACAAAGAUAUAGCAACAUAAGAUGUGGAACUUUGGGAAAACUUGAGUCUUCUUAUGAUAUCCUAACUGCCUAAGAUAUAGCAGAACCAAGAACCAAAAAAGAACUUUACAAUUGCCAACCAAAAAAGAACUUUACAAUUACAAAGGACCUGAAUGUGCAACAACCAAAGUAAAUAUCUAAAAUGCACAAGCAGAUACCUUCCAAUUGGAAGAAAAAAAUGUACAACAGUGCAAGCAAUAUGACAAUAAGGUUGCAAGGCCUUAACAAGUCCUGGAACUCUGUGGUAUGAGUAUGUUUCAGAUACACAAACAGUCCAACUGUAAUAAGGGAGAUUCCAGAUCUUGUCCCAGUACAGUAUCUUUUGGAUGAAGAUCAUAUACCACCUCUACGAUCUCCCAAAGACUGCAAAAAACCCUAUAAUCAGGCUUUAUUAAAGAAUUAGAAAGAAUUCAGUAUUAAAGAACAAUAAAAAAUAUAUUACGAGGCCCUUAGUAUUAAAGAACAAAAUUACGAAAUUCGUAAAUAAGCUCCAAAUAAAAAUAUU
rnacentral:lncRNA from 1 species